ACGGGAGGCAGCAGUGGGGAAUAUUGGACCAUGGGGGCAACCCUGAUCCAGCGACGCCGCGUGAGUGAAGAAGUAUUUCGGUAUGUAAAGCUCUUUAAGCAGGGAAGAAAAUGACGGUACCUGCAAAAUAAGCCCCGGCUAACUACGUGCCAGCAGCCGCGGUAAUACGUAGGGGGCAAGCGUUAUCCGGAUUUACUGGGUGUAAAGGGAGCGUAGACGGCAAAUCAAGUCUGAAGUGAAAGCCCGCGGCUCAACUGCGGAACUGCUUUGGAAACUGAUUAGCUAGAGUGUCGGAGAGGUGAGUGGAAUUCCCAGUGUAGCGGUGAAAUGCGUAGAUAUUGGGAGGAACACCGGUGGCGAAGGCGGCUCACUGGACGAUAACUGACGUUGAGGCUCGAAAGCGUGGGGAGCAAACAGGAUUAGAUACCCUGGUA
rnacentral:rRNA from 1 species